UGGGGAAUAUUGGACAAUGGGCGCAAGCCUGAUCCAGCCAUGCCGCGUGAGUGAUGAAGGCCCUAGGGUUGUAAAGCUCUUUCGACGGGGACGAUAAUGACGGUACCCGUAGAAGAAGCCCCGGCUAACUUCGUGCCAGCAGCCGCGGUAAUACGAAGGGGGCUAGCGUUGUUCGGAAUCACUGGGCGUAAAGCGCACGCAGGCGGAUCGUUAAGUCAGGGGUGAAAUCCCGAGGCUCAACCUCGGAACUGCCUUUGAUACUGGCGAUCUUUGAGUCCGGGAGAGGUGAGUGGAACUCCGAGUGUAGAGGUGAAAUUCGUAGAUAUUCGGAAGAACACCAGUGGCGAAGGCGGCUCACUGGCCCGGUACUGACGCUCAGGUGCGAAAGCGUGGGGAGCAAACAGGAUUAGAUACCCCAGUAGUCCCUGAGCGGGCUGGCAAGGCGCAU
rnacentral:rRNA from 1 species